rnacentral:rRNA from 1 species
UACGUAGGUGGCAAGCGUUGUCCGGAUUUAUUGGGUUUAAAGGGUGCGUAGGCGGUUCUGUAAGUCAGGGGUGAAAGACGGUAGCUUAACUAUCGCAGUGCCUUUGAUACUGAUGGGCUUGAAUACACUUGAGGUAGGCGGAAUGUGACAAGUAGCGGUGAAAUGCAUAGAUAUGUCACAGAACACCAAUUGCGAAGGCAGCUUACUAAAGUGUGAUUGACGCUGAGGCACGAAAGCGUGGGGAUCAAACAGG